AAGCUUCGCGGAUUGUCUUUUGCUCCAAGUUAUUUUUGGUGAUUUUUUUUUUUUUUUUUUUUUUUAGUGGUUUUUCGGCGGAGCGCUAGUGGCACUAUACUUUCAGACAGGUUAUCCCGUCUCUCCCGCUAGAUUGAUGAGAUCAGGCAUC
rnacentral:lncRNA from 1 species